rnacentral:lncRNA from 1 species
UCUCUCUGUUGGAACACAACUUGGCUAUAGUUUUCUAACAGCCUUGUCUACACAUGUAACCAGUUUACUCUUAAGUCCCUGGAUUAGUUAGUCAAAAGGUGCUCUAGAGAAACAGAACCAAAGAAUGUGUAUACAGAGGCAUAUUUAUUUCAAAGAAUUGGCUCAUGUAAUUGUGAAAGCUUGGUUAAGGCCAAAAUUAAGCAGGGCAGAGACUUAGGAAAGAGUUGCAGUUGUGUUCAAAAGCAGUCAGCUGGCUGAAUUUAUCCUCACUUGGAAAAGGAUUCUGUCCCUAUAGUCCUCUCAAGCAGCAGUUUACUUCUAAAUGUUGAAUCCAAUCGUAAUUUCUCAGAAAUUAUCUUACUCAGCCUGCAAGCAACAUUUGACAAAUUUGAUUCUCUCAGUUAAGCAAGUAAAGUUGAGGAUGUAUUGUCAGAUCCUUGUACAGAAGAAAAGAAGUGAAAAUAAUGAAAACAAUGGCAAGAGAAGUUACUAUUUCCCAGAGGAAAAACGCUGCUGUAAAAGGAGCUCAUAUAUUUUAGCUGUGGUGUUAAUUUUGAAGUCAGCAUGAGUCAUUAAAUUAAAGUAUUGUAAUUUGGAAAUAUAUUUAAAAUGAAAAGAAAUAAAAAAGAGUACUAGAAAA